rnacentral:rRNA from 1 species
GAUGAACGCUAGCUACAGGCUUAACACAUGCAAGUCGAGGGGCAGCAUGAAAGUUUGCUUGCAAACUUUUGAUGGCGACCGGCGCACGGGUGAGUAACACGUAUCCAACCUGCCUCAUACUCGGGGAUAGCCUUUCGAAAGAAAGAUUAAUACCCGAUGUUAUAGUCCUACCGCAUGAUGGGAUUAUUAAAGAAUUUCGGUAUGGGAUGGGGAUGCGUUCCAUUAGUUAGUUGGCGGGGUAACGGCCCACCAAGACAACGAUGGAUAGGGGUUCUGAGAGGAAGGUCCCCCACAUUGGAACUGAGACACGGUCCAA